UGGGGAAUAUUGCACAAUGGGCGCAAGCCUGAUGCAGCCAUGCCGCGUGUGUGAAGAAGGCCUUCGGUUGUAAGCACUUUCAGCGAGGAGGAAGGUGGUGAACUUAAUACGUUCAUCAAUUGACGUUACUCGCAGAAGAAGCACCGGCUAACUCCGUGCCAGCAGCCGCGGUAAUACGGAGGGUGCAAGCGUUAAUCGGAAUUACUGGGCGUAAAGCGCACGCAGGCGGUUUGUUAAGUCAGAUGUGAAAUCCCCGGGCUCAACCUGGGAACUGCAUUUGAAACUGGCAAGCUAGAGUCUCGUAGAGGGGGGUAGAAUUCCAGGUGUAGCGGUGAAAUGCGUAGAGAUCUGGAGGAAUACCGGUGGCGAAGGCGGCCCCCUGGACGAAGACUGACGCUCAGGUGCGAAAGCGUGGGGAGCAAAACAGGAUUAGAUACCCUGGUAGUCCACGCUGUAAAACGAUGUCGAUUUUGGAGGUUGUGCCCUUGAGGCGUGGCUUCCGGAGCUAACGCGUUAAAUCGACCGCCUGGGGAGUACGGCCGCAAGGUU
rnacentral:rRNA from 1 species